CAGGAAUGAGUUAUCGAAGCUUGAGUCAUUUUUACCGUGUUUCUAAACCAUCUAUAUCACAAUUCAUACCAGAAGUUUGUCGAACAAUUUAUGAAGUAUUAAAACAGUAUAUUAAGGUACCAAACGCAGAAGAAUGGAAAAACAUCGAAAGGGGAUUUAAAACACGAUGGAAUUUCCCCUUAUGUUAUGGUUGUAUAGACGAAAAACAUGUGACAAUUAAAGCUCCUCCUAAAAGUGGAAGUUUAUACUUUAAUUAUAAAAAAACAAGCAGCGUCGUAUUGUUAGCUAUUGCUGAUCACGACUACUGUUUUUCGUACAUAGAUGUCGGCGCGUGUGGUAGCGCAUCUGAUGGAGGAGUUUUUAAAAAUUGUUCUAUAUACCAAGACCUGGAAAAUAACUUAUUACCUGACAACGGAGUCAUCGUGGGAGAUGCGGCAUUUCCACUAAAGACUUAUUUAAUGAAGCCGUAUCCAGGUGUAAACCUCAGUACAGAAGAAAAAGUUUUUAACUACAGGUUAUCUCGGGCAAGACGCAUAAUCGAAAAUGUAUUUGGAAUCUUAGUUAGUAGAUUUCGGGUAUUAGAAAAGCCAAUAUUAACUAACUUGGAAACAGUAGAUGCAAUCGUUUGUGCUUGUUGUGCCCUUCAUAAUUGGCUACGAAAGAAAUGACAGUCAUACAUCACCGCUACUUGUGUUGAUAGGGAAGAUGAACAGGGAAAUAUUCUGCCCGGUUCAUGGAGGAGCCAAAUACAUGCCCUACAGAUUAUUGGCAAUCAAGGUACCAAUCAUUCAGCAGAAAUAGCAAGAGAGAAAAGAGAAGUUUUAAAAAAUAUGUUUAAUAACGAAGGAAGAGUUCCUUGGCAAUUAAAUAGCAUACAUUAACAAUCCACUUUGAAAAUCUACAUUGAAACGGACAACGGACAAAUACCUACACGAGCUUCUUUUGUUGUAGUACCUAUGCGUGUGUCUUUAAGUGGCUUUAUAAUUUUCCUUAAAUGUAAUUUUCGUUUAAAAUAAAUAAUAAUGUGAUUUUA